rnacentral:rRNA from 1 species
AGAGUUUGAUCCUGGCUCAGAAUCAACGCUGGCGGCGCGCUUAACACAUGCAAGUCGAACGAGAAAGUGGAGCAAUCCAUGAGUAAAGUGGCGUACGGGUGAGUAACACGUGGGUAAUCUACCUUUUAGUGAGGAAUAACGAUGGGAAACCGUCGCUAAUACCGCAUGAGCCCGAGAGGGGAAAGUCGAAAGACGCUGAAAGAGGAGCCCGCGGCCGAUUAGCUAGUUGGUGAGGUAAGAGCCCACCAAGGCUUAGAUCGGUAGCCGGCCUGAGAGGGCACACGGCCACACUGGCACUGAAACACGGGCCAGACUCCUACGGGAGGCAGCAGUGGGGAAUCUUGCACAAUGGGGGCAACCCUGAUGCAGCGACGCCGCGUGAGCGAUGAAGCCCUUCGGGGUGUAAAGCUCUUUCGGCAGGGAAGAUUAUGACGGUACCUGCAGAAGCAGCUGCGGCUAACUACGUGCCAGCAGCCGCGGUAAUACGUAGGCAGCGAGCGUUGUUCGGAGUUACUGGGCGUAAAGGGUGUGUAGGCGGUUCUUUAAGUUUGGUGUGAAAUCUCCCGGCUUAACCGGGAGGGUGCGCCGAAUACUGAGGGACUAGAGUGCGGGAGAGGAAAGUGGAAUUCCUGGUGUAGCGGUGAAAUGCGUAGAUAUCAGGAGGAACACCGGUGGUGUAGACGGCUUUCUGGACCGUAACUGACGCUGAAACACGAAAGCGUGGGUAGCAAACAGGAUUAGAUACCCUGGUAGUCCACGCCCUAAACGAUGCAUAUUUGGUGUGGGUCAUUCAGUUGAUCCGUGCCGGAGCUAACGCGUUAAAUAUGCCGCCUGGGGAGUACAGUCGCAAGGCUGAAACUCAAAGGAAUUGACGGAUAGG